CUCCUCUCUCCUCCUUCUCUCCAUCCUUUCUUUUUGUCUUCUCUCCCCUCCCUUCCUCUCCCUCUCCCUCCUGUCUCCUCCCCUCCCCUGUCUCCUGCCUUCUUUCUCCUUUCCCUUCCUUCCUUCCUUCCUCUCCUCCCCUUCGCCUUCCCCUCCCCUCUCAUCUUCCUUCCCUCUCCCCUCCCCUCCCUUCUUUCUCCUUUAUCUUUUUUCUCCCUCCCUCCCUCUCCUUUCUCCUUUCUCCAUUUCCCGCUUUCCCUUCACUUUCCCUCCCCUUCCAUCUCCUCCCCUUCCCUUUCUCCUGCCUUCUUUCGCCUUAAUCUUUUCCCCCCCUCCCUCUUUUUUCUUCCUUUUCUCCUUUCUCCCUUUCCCUUCUUCCCUUCCCCUUCUCCCUAUUUUUAACUUAAGCCACAAGAUUUCCUGGCAAUGCCACGGAUGGCAUUCAGGCUUCCUUGCCAGCUGUGACGUUGUGACUUCACAACACAUCUCGCCCACACAACAACAAGGCCAACGCUUCGAAAUCUACCCAGAAGCGCCGGGGGGGGAAAAAAUGAAUAGAAAAUCUCAAUUUUCUUUCUCUGCCCGGCCAUCACACACACACACACACCGUUGGGUCCGAUCGGAAACGCCCAAAGGGGUCAUUUUUCAACUUGAAAAAAAAAAUUGAAUUUUUUUUCGCUUCCUUUCCUUUGGAGCGAACUCCUCGUCUUUUUCAUCCGCCAAAAAAUGACGCCAAUAUUUUUCCUGCUAUAUUUUUUUCCCCCAAUUCGGUGCUUUUCCUGCAAACGGACAUACACACAUACACAAAAAAACCCCCUUUCAUCCCGGACAUCUUGCGAGCUGUAAACAAACAUAAUUUCCAAAUGUCUUAAAAACGGCCAGCCAAAUCUCAGCCUGGUUUUUUUUUUUUUUUAUUUUUAUUUAUUUUUAUUUAUUUUUUAUUUUUAAAGGCCUUUUUUUGUUUCUUCCUCCCCCUACAAAAGGAAAUAUUUUUCAAAGGACCUCAUCCGGGAGAGACUUCCUCUUCCAACGAGGACAUUUCUGCUCGUUGCAAAAGACCCCCCCCCCGAAAGAAAUGAAAACUUGGGAGCAAAAACGGCGAAAAGUUUGGAAGAGCUGCGUUCGAAUGGAGCACCCCCGGAGGAAGAGCUGCGUUCGAAUGGUGCGCCUUUUCGGGGAACCGGCUUUCCAUCAGCUUGUCGAUCCCACGGUCUUUCAUUUUCUGCAACACGGGAAGGAAAGGUUCCGGGUUCGAGAUUCGCCAUCAUAUCGACUCAUCGGACUAGGAAUCUCUCUGGAGAGCAGACUGCCUUAAACGGCUAAAAAAAGACUUGAAAUGGAGAACUUGCGCAAGCGAGCCAAGUUGCUUUUUUUUUUUUUCUCUUUUUUUUUUGCAAAAUCACGCCGGAUUUGGGCUGCCAUCUUUCUACUCAGCUGGAACUUCCAGCUGUCUCUCUCUCCCCACCUGAAAAAACCCAUCCGUCUGUCUGUCCAGAGCCGCCGACCUCUUCACAGCGACGCCAUCCGC